CCCGAACCCACAGCAAAGCCAGAGGAUCACAGAUGGUCCCACAUCCCGCGUGGCCAGGGAGUCGCAGUCCAGGCUCCUCCGCGCCCUGGGCCCCAAAGGGUCGCUGACCGAAUGGUCCCCCAGGGUCGCUGGCUGGAGCAAUAGGGGAUCUGGAUACGAGAUCUGGAUCUUGGCCACCCGGGAACUGCUCAGCGACACAAGGCCGCGGGCUUGCAGGACCUGGUGACAUCUCUUUCCACUGAAUAAGCAAAUCUCCUCUAUCCUCACCGACCCAUCCCUACUCGGUGGCAGACUGAACUGCACAGGCAAGGCCUCGGUGGCACCCAGUCAGGUACUCAGCACCGGAGGUCUUUGAUGUACAUGAUCUACAGCACCCUGCCCCAGUGCUGCUCCUCACAGGCAUUGCUGGAUGCCAGACAGGAAUCCAGCCACAUUUCCCAAGGUAACUUUGCCCUGCUACUAAGACCCAGGAGAAAGAGAAUGGAGAUGCUGUCCCCUUCCUAAAACCUCACUGCCAUUUACUAUUAUGAGGUGUCUGAGUGAAGUUGAACAGCAUUCUAGAUCAGCCCAUGGUGGAGAAGCCAGGAAGAAAGAGAGGGAUAAAGCAGAGUAGAAUGCUGACUACAAAGUCAGUUAUUAGCACGAAGCAAGUGACCCGGCCUUGUGGCACAGGCAAGGCUGAGGCAGGAGGAUGGCAAAGUUCAACCCCAGCCUGGACAAUUU